AAGAGAUCGGGAUAACACCUGGAAACAGAUGCUAAUACCGGAUAACAACAGAUGAUGCCUAUCAACUGUUUAAAAGAUGGUUCUGCUAUCACUCUUGGAUGGACCUGCAGUGCAUUAGCUAGUUGGUAGGGUAACGGCCUACCAAGGCGAUGAUGCAUAGCCGAGUUGAGAGACUGAUCGGCCACAUUGGGACUGAGACACGGCCCAAACUCCUACGGGAGGCAGCAGUA
rnacentral:rRNA from 1 species